GGAUCCGUGGCGCAACGGUAGCGCGUCUGACUCCGGAUCAGAAGGUUGUGUGUUUGCUUCACGUCGGGUUCA
rfam:Ipomoea nil DNA, scaffold: scaffold2280, cultivar: Tokyo-kokei standard.